rnacentral:rRNA from 1 species
GAAAAGGCCUGAGAGACGGCCAUUACUUCUAAGGAAGGCAGCAGGCGCGUAAAUUACCCAAUCCUAAUACGGGGAGGUAGUGACAAGAAAUAUUGAUAUUGGACCCAAAGGGUACAAUGAUUGAAAUGAGAACAAUAUAAAAAACUUAACGACUAACAAUUGGAGGGCAAGUCUGGUGCCAGCAGCCGCGGUAAUUCCAGCUCCAAGAGUGUAUAUUAAAAGUUGUUGCGGUUAAAAAAGCUCGUAGUUGAAUUUCUGAAAAUAAUCUUGUGAUUGAUUUAACCGUCAUGAACAAAAAUUGUUUACAUACUUGAUAGAUGGAAACAUUUAUCUUAAUGACUUUGAAAAAAUUAGAGUGUUCAAAGCAUGAUUCACAUUUGAAUAAUACAGCAUGGGAUAAUAUAAUAUGACAUUAGUU